AGAGUUUGAUCAUGGCUCAGGACGAACGCUGGCGGCGUGCUUAACACAUGCAAGUCGAGCGGAAAGGCCUUUCGGGGUACUCGAGCGGCGAACGGGUGAGUAACACGUGAGUAACCUGCCCCUGGCUUUGGGAUAACCAUCGGAAACGGUGGCUAAUACCGAAUAUUCACUUCUGGUCGCAUGGCUGGUGGUGGAAAGUUUUUCGGCUGGGGAUGGGCUCGCGGCCUAUCAGCUUGUUGGUGGGGUGAUGGCCUACCAAGGCUUUGACGGGUAGCCGGCCUGAGAGGGCGACCGGCCACACUGGGACUGAGACACGGCCCAGACUCCUACGGGAGGCAGCAGUGGGGAAUAUUGCACAAUGGGCGGAAGCCUGAUGCAGCGACGCCGCGUGAGGGAUGACGGCCUUCGGGUUGUAAACCUCUUUCAGCAGGGACGAAGCGAGAGUGACGGUACCUGCAGAAGAAGCGCCGGCCAACUACGUGCCAGCAGCCGCGGUA
rnacentral:rRNA from 1 species